CAGCAGUAGCCGCGGGAAUACGUAGGGUGCAAGCGUUAAUCGGAAUUACUGGGCGUAAAGCGUGCGCAGGCGGUUAUAUAAGACAGAUGUGAAAUCCCCGGGCUCAACCUGGGAACUGCAUUUGUGACUGUAUAGCUAGAGUACGGCAGAGGGGGAUGGAAUUCCGCGUGUAGCAGUGAAAUGCGUAGAUAUGCGGAGGAACACCGAUGGCGAAGGCAAUCCCCUGGGCCUGUACUGACGCUCAUGCACGAAAGCGUGGGGAGCAAACAGGAUUAGAUACCCCGGUAGUCCCUGUCUCUUAUAC
rnacentral:rRNA from 1 species